GGCGCACGGAGCCGCCACCAUCUUCGCUGCUGCUGCCGCCGCCGCGCUCCCGAGAGCCGCCGCAUCCGCCGCGGCACCGAGUUUUCAGCCGGGCAGAGCCAGACGUCAGCAGGAGGAGGGCGGAGGUAGACGGUGGUAUUCUAGAAUGCCCACAGCAUAUUCAGCCAUCGGUGCAAAGACAAUUUCUCAUUAGGUCCUUUCCAUGGCCCACGGAAUGAAGAGCAGAUUGUCCAGCACGAGGCCAGGACAGGCCCCAGCAGAACUUCUGAAAUCCAGCUGCUAAUCCAAGAAUGCCUUUUCUAGUGGGACCCAGAACUGGAAUUGAUUAUGGGCCCAUCCAAAGCCAGGUACACCCCAGAUCUUCGGGAGCUUUAUUCUCACACAACUGUUCUAACCUUGAGGAUGACUUGAGCUCCCAUCAGCCAUCUGCCGUACAAUAAGCUGACAUCCUUAUGUAUUCUCUCUGCCAAAAGGCAACUUUUAAAAUGCUAUUAAAAAAACUGUGUACAAAUUAAACAGUCAACACAUUUUACUGCUGCUCAGUAACUAAAAUGCUUUCAGUAUGCUAUGCAAUCUAUAACUGCUGAAAUUACUUUCAUGUGUGUUUAUAAGUCUUCCUAUAUUUUCUCCUCAUUACUCCAAAUACAUUUUAAAAGCUUGUUAAGAUAGAUUUGUUGGUAUUUUGUAUCUAGCUGACUGUGCAUGUUAAAGGCUUCAACUGUAACUUUCCUAGCUUGAAACACACUAUUCUUCAUGCUGCUUGUUAAAACACAUAUCAUUCCAACCAUGUACAUUAAUUGCCUUGUCUGGGGAAACAGAACUCAGUUUAUGAAGUCUGUCAUCCUGCUUUGUAGCUUAAUUAUAAAAUAAAAUUAAUUUUCC